UACGUAGGGGGCUAGCGUUGUCCGGAAUCAUUGGGCGUAAAGCGCGUGUAGGCGGCCCGGUAAGUCCGCUGUGAAAGUCGGGGGCUCAACCCUCGGAUGCCGGUGGAUACUGUCGGGCUCGAGUACGGAAGAGGCGAGUGGAAUUCCAGGUGUAGCGGUGAAAUGCGUAGAUAUCUGGAGGAACACCGGUGGCGAAGGCGGCGAUCCUGGACCAAUUCUGACGCUGAGGAGCGAAAGCCAGGGGAGCAAAGCGGG
rnacentral:rRNA from 1 species